CAGUCUGUCUUAAAAGUUCGGGGCUUAACCCCGUGAUGGGAUGGAAACUGCUGAUCUAGAGUAUCGGAGAGGAAAGUGGAAUUCCUAGUGUAGCGGUGAAAUGCGUAGAUAUUAGGAAGAACACCAGUGGCGAAGGCGACUUUCUGGACGAAAACUGACGCUGAGGCGCGAAAGCCAGGGGAGCGAACGGGAUUAGAUACCCCGGUAGUCCUGGCCGUAAACGGUGGGUACUAGGUGUAGGAGGUAUCGACCCCUUCUGUGCCGGAGUUAACGCAAUAAGUACCCCGCCUGGGGAGUACGACCGCAAGGUUGAAACUCAAAGGAAUUGACGGGGGCCCGCACAAGCGGUGGAGUAUGUGGUUUAAUUCGACGCAACGCGAAGAACCUUACCAGGUCUUGACAUUGAUGGACAGAACUAGAGAUAGUUCCUCUUCUUCGGAAGCCAGAAAACAGGUGGUGCACGGUUGUCGUCAGCUCGUGUCGUGA
rnacentral:rRNA from 1 species